CCCACUUGGCAAUCCUCAUCUCUAUAUUUUACCGUGUGGACAUACUCUUUCCUUCCAUGUUCCACUGUCGUAUGUUAUUCCACAUCUAACACAACUACAUCCCAACAGAUCCGAACACGAUCGGUAUCAUCCAAGAGAAUGUGGCUCCUGAUGAGGAGAGUCCAAGAAAGAGGCCACGGAUGAAGCUGAAUGAAGACAUUUAGCCACCCCCUGAGGGUGUGAACUUGAUGGGAUUGGAGAAAACUCGACUCGGCCAUCAAGCUCACCACAAUAUAACAUGAGAAGUGAAAAUUGCUGCACAAAACAGUCUGUCGUCUGCGCCGGGAGGCAAGGCAUCCUGUUACAACUCCUGAGCAGUUUUUGCCCAGAGCCAGCAUUUUUUUAGAUCCUAUAGGGGUGGAUUUUUUCUAAGGUCAGGUUCAGCAUGCUGCAAGAUGCCAAGAUCUAAGCCUAGUAGGAGAUAUGGGUUACAAGAGAGGAGGUUUGCUCUGGCCUUAUACUAUCAAAGUCCAAAUGCUAAUAGAUUUCUAAGCACAGUAUUUCACUUGCCUUCAGUUUCAACACUUCACUCAUGACUCAGGGGUAUUUCAGUAAAUGUUAGCUGGAGCAAACAGACUCUGACAGCCCUGCAGCAAAGAGCACAGGCUCUGUCAAAAGAAGAGAUACUUCGUGAGAUUUGCCAUUAUUUAGUUUUACUCUUGUUACGCCAAUAAUUUUUUUCCAUAUACUUUGCCAAAUAUUGCAAGUAAUGCACCAUUGUUGGUCUUGCCUGUUAUAAAUCAGAUCUUGUUCAAUUAACAAGCUUUGGGUGUCUGCCACUUUCCAGUUGUAAUGCAAGGAAUCAUUUAUCUCCCCUGCCAGAUAUCACAUGUAAUGCACCAUUGUUGGUUUUGCCUGUUAUAAAUCAGAUCUUGUUCGGUUAACAAGCUUUAGGCGUCUGCCACUUUCCAGUUGUAAUGAAAGGAAUCCCCUGCCAGAUAUCGCAUGUAAUGCAUCAUUGUUGGUUUUGCCUGUUUUAAUCAGAUCUUGUUCAGCUCACAAGCUUUGAAUAUCUGCCAUUGUUUAUUUCAGGUGUAAUACUUGGAAGCAUUUGUUCUCUGCCCUACCCAACAGUAUGCAAUGCCUUAUUAUGGAGUUUGCCUGUUAUAGUUAAUCUUGUUCAGGUAACAAGCUUUUGGUAUCUGCCUUACCUAAUAAUGUGCUGCAAUGACACUUAGCUUGGUUUCAUAAUGUGAAAUACAGCAUGUAAUUUCAUCACACUAAGUGUCUAUCAUCACGUGUCUGGCAUUAUUAUCCAGGAGUAAUCUUGUUUGUAUUACAGCAUGCAAUGUUUUUUUUCUGCUUUAUAAGAUAUACAUAAUCACAUAGGUAUGAGUUUUUAUGACAAAAUGUAAUGGCAGUUGAUAUUCUUGACUAAUGCCUCAUAAACCUUGUGAAAAAUAAUGCCUUUUUUGAGGGGAGUCGGGGGUGGACAGAGAGUGGUUUGUUUGGUUGGCCAGUUCAAAUCAUUGAAAAAUAAACAUUGAAACUCUUUGUAAACAUGAAAUAAUAGGAAUGUUUUACUAAAAUUAAUGCAUAUAUGUAUAUUGUGGUGAAAUAAUAAUUUCCGUUCAAAAAUAAACACUAGACAUUCA